AUAUACAUUUUCUUCUCUAAUAUUUGGUUGAUUCAUCUCUGACUUUGAUAACUGUGGCUAAUCUUCAGAGCAUGGAGCUGAUUAGAUGCUGUAUCUCAAGUUGUAUAAUAGAAUCCCAUAUCAUCUGUAAUUCUAUUCUCAUCUCAGCUUUGAAGUGUAUUUGAUGUUGUAUCUUUGAUAUAUGAAACUUCAUUAUUGCUUAUAGAUUCUCUAUAGAAUUUAAAUCAGAACUUUAUGCAGAUCAUUUUAUUUAAUUCAUCUGUCAAUCAUUCAUUCACUGUUUUAACAGCUUAGAGAUAUAAUAUCUAGCUUCAUCUUCUGCUCAGAGUGCAAUCCCAUGUUUUUCAAGAAUGUGAAUAUAAUGAGAAUAGUUAUGAAGUAGGAGAAUUUCGAUUUGCAUCGGCGCCACCCUCCUCAUGGCCCCUCUUUCUUGCAGUUAGACACUCUUCUCAUCCAAUCUAGCAUCACCCAUUCAGAUCUAAUGUGUUUCAUUUUGAUUUGAUGCUGUCUGUUCAGAGAUGGCACUUGCUCUUGCUGCUGUGGCCUGUAUCAAUGUCAUCUGUUGCAACUAUAUAAGAUGCUCCUCUUUCUCUCUCUUGUGCACACACUUUCUAUCUUGUUUUUCUUUCCAAUCUCAGCCUUUCCUUGUUUCCCUCUCUUCAUUGAUGAUCAUCAAACUCUGACAUCUGUAUCUCUUCUUCUCUUAACAAAUGCUGGGCUGACUCACUGCCAUCACCACCAUGCUGAAUGAAGUUACUCAAUCUGCCAUAGCUCAACUACUUUUACAACAAUCCAUUGUCUUGAUAACUCUCAUCAUACUCUUGUACUCUUGUUCUUCUGUGGUUUACUGUUUUCAUUCUUCAGUUUCUUUCCACUGUUCUUUCAUUCUUUACACACUCUUAAUUCAUCACAUUCAUUGCUGUUCUCAGACUGUCAGUCUUUUUUCCUUCUCUUUUCUUAUCUUUUCUUUUCUUUUUUUUUUGUCUGAUAUCAGAGCAGAGGAUAUACUGUAUUUUGAGUCAAUGACAAAAAUGCCUCAUUCUCUGUAAAGCUGUACAUGUGGAUCU
rnacentral:sRNA from 1 species